rnacentral:rRNA from 1 species
GACGGAGGAUGCAAGCGUUAUCCGAAAUUAUUGGGCGUAUAGCGUCCGUAGGGGGCCUAUCAAGUCUGCUGUUAAAUCCCAGGGCUCAACUCUGGAUCAGCAGUGGAAACUGAUAAGCUAGAGUGCGGUAGGGGCAGAGGGAAUUCACGGUGUAGCGGUGAAAUGCGUAGAUAUCGGGAAGAACACCAGUGGCGAAGGAGCUCUGCUGGGCCGUAACUGACACUCAAGGACGAAAGCUAGGGGAGCGAAAGGG